UACGAAGGGGGCUAGCGUUGCUCGGAAUUACUGGGCGUAAAGGGCUCGUAGGCGGCCAACUAAGUCGGACGUGAAAUCCCCAGGCUCAACCUGGGAACUGCGUCUGAUACUGGAUGGCUUGAAUCCGGGAGAGGGAUGCGGAAUUCCAGGUGUAGCGGUGAAAUGCGUAGAUAUCUGGAGGAACACCGGUGGCGAAGGCGGCAUCCUGGACCGGUAUUGACGCUGAGGCGCGAAAGCCAGGGGAGCAAACGGG
rnacentral:rRNA from 1 species